rnacentral:rRNA from 1 species
GAUGAACGCUAGCGGCAAGCUUAAUACAUGCAAGUCGAGGGGCAGCAUGACUGUAGCAAUACAGUUGAUGGCGACCGGCAAACGGGUGCGGAACGCGUACAGAACCUUCCUUCGAGCGGGGAAUAGCCCAGAGAAAUUUGGAUUAAUACCCCAUAGUAUUACGGAGUGGCAUCACUUUGUAAUUAAAGAUUUAUCACUUGAAGAUGGCUGUGCGGCUGAUUAGAUAGUUGGCAGGGUAACGGCCUACCAAGUCUACGAUCAGUAACUGGUGUGAGAGCACGACCAGUCACACGGGCACUGAGACACGGGCCUGACUCCUACGGGAGGCAGCAGUAAGGAAUAUUGGUCAAUGGACGAAAGUCUGAACCAGCUAUGCCGCGUGGAGGAUGAAGGCCCUCUGGGUUGUAAACUUCUUUUAUAUGGGACGAAAAAGGGCCUUUCUAGGUCAACUGACGGUACCAUGUGAAUAAGCACCGGCUAACUCCGUGCCAGCCGCCGCAGUAAAAC